GUGGCCUCGUCCCCAAUCGGCGGGACGACUAGGUUUCUGUCGCCGCGUCUCCCUUCUCUCUCUCGCUCGCAUCUCUCCAUCGCUCCUCCUUCUCUUCGCGCAGCCGCCGCUCCUCUCCGCCUCCCUCCUCCUCCACAGGAUUGCGGCCUUCCCUCCCUUGUGCUAUCCUCUCACGGCCAUGAACGGCGGCGAGCUCGCCGUUGCCUUCAUCGGGAGGAGAGCGGACCGACGGACCUGGAGCAUCCCCAUCGACGGGAGGAGCGGGAGGAGCGCGGGAACCGCCGGCGCCCCUUCGGCAACCAGGUCUUCUCCCUCGCCAGCCGCCGUGCCCCCGUCAAGCUGUCACAUCGUCGGGAGGAGAUGAAUCACUGCUCUCCCUGGAGGAGAGGGUCGACGGGAGCUAGCGAGACGGAUCUGCAGCGCUCGCCUCACCUCAGGGUGGUGCCGGGUGCGUGGCUGUUGUUCCUUCGGAAUUGGCCGGCCUACCUCGUGGGUGUCAAUCCAGGUCGAUGUGCUUGGCCAGAAGAAGGCAUGGACGCCAUCGACCUCGCCCGCCUCUGCACAUUGCAGGUAUAGCAGAUCGUCCUCCCUUCUAAUUUGUUUUCGUAGAAUUGGAUGAACACCCAUGGUUCAGUUUGGGCUCAUGCAAUGUCUGUUCUUCUCGAAUGCUUACUUUGGAUGCGUCGUGUGAGUCAAUGUUGAUAUUUUGUUCCUAUUGAUUUACAGGUUAUACUAAUGAAACUUUAGUUAUUAAGGGUGUAUAAUAUCUUGGAAGCUUAGUGUUGUCAUUGAAUGUUCUUCUGCAUUUAAGCUAAAAAAUGUUCAUCUGCAUUGAUUUAUUUUUAGUUGAGUAUGAAGGAGCAAAGAGAGCUACAUAAUUCUUAUUCUUCAGUAUCCACGUGAAUUAGUUUUCACAUUGGUUUGUGUGCUGAAAGCUAUUGAAACAUAUCCCUUGUAUUGUCAAAUGUUGUGUUGUGUGAAUCAUUUCUUUGUUCUGGAUGUCCUCGGCAAGAAUGGAGCAUGGACCUUAACGUCCCUAGGUAUAGCAGAUCCUCAUCCCUUCCUUUUCUAAUUUAUUUUCAUAUAAUAGGAUCAACACCCACAGUUCAGUCUGGGUUCAUAAAGUGUGUGCAUUUAUCUCCAUUGCAUUUCUCACAAUCUGAAAAUUCUUGCUUACAGUUUGUUAAGGUGAAGAAUUCUGCUUAGGCUACUAUUUCUUUUUUGAGUAUGAGUUCAUUUUCCUUUUCCAUGGGAUGGCUAUGAUUGAAAAACUCUCUUAAGCUUCUAUUCUCGCUCUAUACAGUUCCUUUUAACUCUGAACCGAAUGAAAAAUCUGAUGGGACUGCACAUAUAUCUUGCACUGAAUCUGGCCAUAUGUUUAAGUAAAAUAGUUCAGGUUAUAAGCCCGGCAAGAAAUUAAAUAUAAGAUGUGCUUUUGAAUUGCUGACGACCAAAGUCCGCAAAUAGACUAUGGUCUUCUGAUCUUUCAGCUUAUUGCAGUAAUAUUAUUCCUUCUUCUUUUCUCCAGGCAGAAAAGACAUACUGAUUUGAAGACCACCUCAAUUGUUUGGGAUCUGGAUUGUCUGUACAUAUUUUGUUGGUGGUUGGCAGAUCUGGUCCAUCAUAAUCUUUGUCCUGCUACCAUGCAGUUCUAUGUACCAUGCAAUUUUUCCCCUCCAUCCUGGUCUCAAGAUACUGCCGAGGGAGCGGCUGAUGGAGGCGCUCUGCAAAUGGUGUACGAGUCAAGGAGAUCCACCGCAAGCGGCUCAUGAUGGGCGCACUGGGGAUUAGAUCUCCGUUGGAAAGAUGCAUCCAGGCCUGGCCACCUCUCCAGCACGACAUGCCAGCCAGUUCUCUCUUACCCCUCCUUCCACACCAUAUCGUCGUCUCACCCACCAGAGUAAUGGAAUGUUAAUUGGCUGGUGGUGGCAUGUUCAAGUAUGGGAAAUGAUGAGCUCCUACUUCUUUUUAUGCCAGCCCUAUGCCGUAGCCUGAGUCUUCUGUUCAAUAAUUGUUGUUUCUCCCUGAAACAAAACUGGCACUUUGUACGAUUGAUUACUCAGAGAGCCACAAUCACACAAGGAAAUCUAAACAGCCAGCUGGGUAUUGACAAGAAGUACCAAUUUAAGAGGACCGUGAGAGAGCUUGGAGGGAAGAACACACUUGAUGACCAAAUAAACACUUGAUGACCAUAUUUGGUGCCUUUUGCUGCAAAUAGUGGAAGUCUUUUAGCGAGCAUAUAUUCAUGUCAAACUGAUAUGCCACUGACUCUUUGAUUGCCUGAUCCUGUUCUUCCUUUGCUGUAAGGCUCGGCAUAAAGAACACAUUCGAGGACCAUUCACGACACCUUCUGGAGCAAAUAGUGGUAGUCUAUUGGUAAAUAUAUAUUCAUGUGAAACUGAAAUUGAGAACCUUAGAUGAACAUUAUUUCCUGUUAGUGGAUUGAUAGUUGUACUGAAUCUUGCCCUAUGUACAUGCCCAUCCUGAAACAUAUAUAUAUUAGGUAUUAUUGGAUGAGCAUAAGUGUACAUAUUCUAUACAAGUAUUACCAGACUGGAUACAAUUGGAUCAGGUGGGUUGCGGUAAGCUGCACUUACUAUCCUUUCUACUAAUGCAUCAUAGCAUCUGAUCUUUACCCGCUCGGCCUUGUCAUUGGGACCGGCACCCUUGCACCAAGGCGCGCUCGGCCUUGUCAUUGGGACCGGCACCUUGCACCAAGGCGCGACCCCGAUCUAGUUUCCUAGAUUGUAGGAUCCAUAACGGCACGCCCUGGCUUGCGUGCCGACUCUGAUGGGCUUCCCCUUGUAUAUGAUGUACUCUCUGUAACAGAAUCAAUCAUCGAGAGUUAUUCACUCCAACUCCUCCCCUUUCCCCUUCUCUUCCUCUCUCCACCUUACUCGAGCGGGGCCGAGGACACGAGCAAGUCGUCGGUGCACCCUCCGACGAGCACCGGUGAAGAGAGCGUGCCUAGGAGCUUCGCCAAGUUCAUCUUCGCCCCCCACGUCCUCUACAUCGCCGUGGGACGCCAAGAUGCCGACGCCGUCUUCCUCUUCUUCUCCCUCGGGUGAGAGCGUCUCCGCCUAAAUUCGCCGUCGACGAUCUUCCCCUAGCCCGUUCGACGACCCCGAGCACCUCUACAUGAGCAUCCGAAGCUUCCCAAUCCCUCUUGCAUGUCGAUUCCAUCCUCUGUACGUCGGUCUAGCCGUGGCAGGACGGUGACUGUCGUGCCUCACCCUGGUCGAUGUCGAAUUGGGCCGAUGCUCUGUUCCGCUGCACCCGCACCUUGCAGCACCCACACAAGCACACGCCUGGCCGAGCGAUUGCUCAAGGUCGUGGCCGAACGCCUCGACCAGCAAGGCCAGCCCUUGUUUGGUUCGUCUUUGUUUCAGUUUUUCGCUGAUCUUUUGAUCACCGAGCCGCUCUCAUAGCACAACCACCCAUCCAGCCUGCUACUCAUCGCACGCAUGCUCCAGACACACGCGCGGCUGCACCUCCGCAGCACACGCAAGCCCCACGCCUCCUCCGUGCAAUGUCUUUGUUCCAGCCAACAACCAUGGCCGUGAUCUCUGAACUCUUGCACACGGCCGCCCCUUGCUGCACCCACAAAGGCACUGCACGUACACCCUCGCUUCCACACCCGCAUGCAAGCACCGCCGCGCGGCCCAAGGCACCGAGGCGAGCACCUGCUGCUUGUUGUUGAGCUCCGUCGCGAGCACAGCCAAGGCCAACCCUUGUUUCUGUUGUUUUGUCAGGUUCGCUGAAGCUAUAGGUUCAGAUAGUGCUCUUCUAUUAAGUGUCCGUGAAUUCAGUGCAGGUCCUACUGUUUAGCCCAGCUCGCGGGCACGCAGGCGACCAGGGAUCAAAUCCACACUCGCACAACCCUUUUACACCAAUUUUUGCUUCACCCAGAUCAAGCUUUGCUCUUGUUUCAUAUUCUGUCAAGUCAUUCUUCUGCACAAACAAAUCAGCAGCCAAAUGGUUGUUCAGCCACACACAUAUCCCGAUUUUUUUAUAAAUAAUAAUUAAUAAUCACAUAAUUACGAAACUGAGAAAGGAUUGGUCUAAAUCUGAAAAAUAGGAAGGACGCUGUUUUCCUCAGCGUCCAGGUCUGGACGUUACGCACAGCGUUCUGGCCUGGACGCUACUGUCAACAUCGUCCCUGUAUCUGGUUCGAUUCGCUGCUAUGAAAAAGAUUAAACUGAAUCGUUCUCCUCAAACAGACGGAAGAUUUGUCGCUUGUAAACCCUAGAACGCAUGGAAUCACCGCUCGUCAACCUCGCCAUGUCCUAACCAGCCCCAGAACUCGACGUCUCUGAUCACGGUACCCCUAUCUCUCUUCUAUCGAAACCCAUGGUGCAAGAUGGGCAUAGAGAAUUUUGAUGUGUGGCUUGGGCAUUUGGACCUUGUAUUGAAGCCGUUCCUCACAUUCGACCUGUAAUAAGUGUCGAUGCUUCAUUUCUAUCGGGAAGGUACAAGGGAAGGUUGCUAAUGGCUUGUGGAUAUGACGCUAAUAACCAACUAAUACCUCUUGUUUUUGCCAUUGUGGAGAAAGAGGAUGCAUCAAAUUGGGGCUAGUUCAUGAGAUGGCUUCGGAGGGAGGUAAUUGGUGUUGGAAAGUUCGUGUGUGUCAUUUCAGAUCGCCACAAAGCAAUCAAAUGGGUGUUUAAGCAGCCACACAUUGGUUGGAACGAGGAUGCUGGUGAGUGUGUUCAUCGAUUUUGUUCCCAACAUGUCGCAGAGAACCUAUACAAAUCUUAUCGGGAUGAUAACAUUUUGAAAAUAUUCAAGUGGGCAGUCAAGAAAAAGAAACCUCGUAGGUUUGAGGAGGGCAUGUCAUCUAUUGCACAUACUUGUCCCGAUGCAAUAACAUAUCUUAGAAAGGUCGGUAAGUAUUUGCAGGAAGACAAAAAUGAGAAAGAACAACCUGAAAAAGUAUUUCAAUGCAUGGAUGGGGGUUACCGUUGGGGGAUCAUGACCAGCAAUGGGUCCGAGUCCUUAAACAAUGUGUUUAGGCUUUCCCGAAGGCUCCCAGUGGCAGCGAUUGUGGAGGAAACAUUUUCAAAGUGUUUGGAGUGGUUUGUGGAAAGAAGGCGAAGUGCUCUUAACUUGGUUGAUGAUGGAAAGCAAUGGUCCGAACGGGUGGACAAACUUUUGGUGAAAAGGGGUGACAAGGCAGGACAUAUGCAUGUUAUUUCAUAUGGCGAUGAAGUUGGAAUAUUUGAGGUCAAGGUUGAUCACGAGAGGGUUCCAUUACGCCAUGGGGAUCAUGUUGUUUUUAUUCAUAAAGGCUUCAAGUACAAGGUCAUUUUGCGACCAAAUAAUGCUCCAUCUUGCGAAUGCCUAAAGCCGAACCUAACUCGUGUGCCAUGUGCUCAUGCUUGCUGUUUGCAAGUAUCGGAAUCUGAAUGAAAAUGAAAUAGUACACUCGUAUUACUCUUCUCAAAUGCUUGCAAACACUUGGGCUGGGCAAUUUCAUCCAUAUGGUAACCAAAAUGAGUGGCCAACAUAUAAUGGACCUACUAUUGUUCCCGAUGAGAAGUUAGUAAACCGUGGGCGUCAUCAGCACAAAAGGAUCCCGAUGUACAUGGAUGAAAUGCAAGGAAGGCGAAUGGGGCACCAGGCCCGACGUUCCACAAGAGACAAUAAUCAAAUAGGCACAUCAUCUAGUCAAGGACAGAUCUCAUCGUCGAGUCGAGGAAAGAGGUUGAGUCAAGGGAAGAGCACAUCAUCCAUAGGAAAGAGGUCGAGUCAAGGGAAGAGCAUAGCAUCUAAAGGGAGGAGAUCAAAUAAAGAGAAGACCACAUCAUCUAGUCGAAAUUCUGACACUAGGAGUACCAUCUGAUGACUAGUAUUCUGGGAAAUUUUCAUUAAAUUUGGAUUCAAACAUCGACAGAGUCGUCCAUUGUUCGUUCAGCCAAAAAUUGGCCAAAAUUUUGAACCAAAAAUAAAAGUGUCCAGAAAUUGUUGACCUUUUCACA